rnacentral:rRNA from 1 species
GAUGAACGCUGGCGGCGUGCUUAACACAUGCAAGUCGAACGAUUAAAGCCCCUUCGGGGGUGUAUAGAGUGGCGAACGGGUGAGUAACACGUGAGCAACCUACCUCUUACACUGGGAUAACUCAGGGAAACAUGAGCUAAUACCGGAUACUCCUUAUCUGUUGCAUGACGGAUUUGGGAAAGCGCAUACGGUAAGAGAUGGGCUCGCGGCCCAUUAGCUUGUUGGUGAGGUAACGGCUCACCAAGGUGACGAUGGUAGCCGGGUUGAGAGACUGAUCGGCCACAUUGGGACUGGGACACGGCCCAGACUCCUACGGGAGGCAGCAGUGGGGAAUAUUGGACAAUGGGCGGAAGCCUGAUCCAGCCAUGCCGCGUGUGUGAAGAAGGCCUUAUGGUUGUAAAGCACUUUAAGCGAGGAGGAGGCUACUUUAGUUAAUACCUAGAGAUAGUGGACGUUACCCGCAGAAUAAGCACCGGCUAACUCUGUGCCAGCAGCCGCCGUAACAC